AUCUCUUCUCAGCCUUUUGGCUAAGAUCAAGUGUAGAAACUCAAGUAGACAGGUCAGUUAAGAGAGGUAAAUUUGAAUUUUAGUUCCAUGCUCUCUCUUCUUUGAGUAUUUAUCCAAUGUUAGGUUAAUGCUCAUCAGUAUAACUUCUGUGAAAUACUGUGGACAAGGAAAC
rnacentral:snRNA from 1 species